rnacentral:rRNA from 1 species
AUUGAACGCUGGCGGCAGGCCUAACACAUGCAAGUCGAGCGGUAGCACAGAGAGCUUGCUCUCGGGUGACGAGCGGCGGACGGGUGAGUAAUGUCUGGGAAACUGCCUGAUGGAGGGGGAUAACUACUGGAAACGGUAGCUAAUACCGCAUAACGUCGCAAGACCAAAGUGGGGGACCUUCGGGCCUCAUGCCAUCAGAUGUGCCCAGAUGGGAUUAGCURGUAGGUGGGGUAACGGCUCACCUAGGCGACGAUCCCUAGCUGGUCUGAGAGGAUGACCAGCCACACUGGAACUGAGACACGGUCCAGACUCCUACGGGAGGCAGCAGUGGGGAAUAUUGCACAAUGGGCGCAAGCCUGAUGCAGCCAUGCCGCGUGUGUGAAGAAGGCCUUCGGGUUGUAAAGCACUUUCAGCGGGGAGGAAGGCGGUGAGGUUAAUAACCUCRYCGAUUGACGUUACCCGCAGAAGAAGCACCGGCUAACUCCGUGCCAGCAGCCGCGGUAAUACGGAGGGUGCAAGCGUUAAUCGGAAUUACUGGGCGUAAAGCGCACGCAGGCGGUCUGUCAAGUCGGAUGUGAAAUCCCCGGGCUCAACCUGGGAACUGCAUUCGAAACUGGCAGGCUAGAGUCUUGUAGAGGGGGGUAGAAUUCCAGGUGUAGCGGUGAAAUGCGUAGAGAUCUGGAGGAAUACCGGUGGCGAAGGCGGCCCCCUGGACAAAGACUGACGCUCAGGUGCGAAAGCGUGGGGAGCAAACAGGAUUAGAUACCCUGGUAGUCCACGCUGUAAACGAUGUCGAUUUGGAGGUUGUGCCCUUGAGGCGUGGCUUCCGGAGCUAACGCGUUAAAUCGACCGCCUGGGGAGUACGGCCGCAAGGUUAAAACUCAAAUGAAUUGACGGGGGCCCGCACAAGCGGUGGAGCAUGUGGUUUAAUUCGAUGCAACGCGAAGAACCUUACCUGGUCUUGACAUCCACAGAACUUUCCAGAGAUGGAUUGGUGCCUUCGGGAACUGUGAGACAGGUGCUGCAUGGCUGUCGUCAGCUCGUGUUGUGAAAUGUUGGGUUAAGUCCCGCAACGAGCGCAACCCUUAUCCUUUGUUGCCAGCGGUYMGGCCGGGAACUCAAAGGAGACUGCCAGUGAUAAACUGGAGGAAGGUGGGGAUGACGUCAAGUCAUCAUGGCCCUUACGACCAGGGCUACACACGUGCUACAAUGGCAUAUACAAAGAGAAGCGACCUCGCGAGAGCAAGCGGACCUCAUAAAGUAUGUCGUAGUCCGGAUUGGAGUCUGCAACUCGACUCCAUGAAGUCGGAAUCGCUAGUAAUCGUAGAUCAGAAUGCUACGGUGAAUACGUUCCCGGGCCUUGUACACACCGCCCGUCACACCAUGGGAGUGGGUUGCAAAAGAAGUAGGUAGCUUAACCUUCGGGAGGGCGCUUACCACUUUGUGAUUCAUGACUGGGGUG